UGCUGGACGAGCUCAGUGCGAGUCUGCUGCUGCUGAGUGUGUAGCUCAGCGACUCGGCAGUCGCCAGCUGGGCUCUCAUUUUUAAGGUAAUUACCUCAGAUUAGCGUAAUCUCACCACUUUUAAGGUAAUUUUGAGGUAAUGCUAUUUUUAAGGUAAUUCUGAGGUAAUUCAGGUAUUCUUAAGGUAAUUCUAACGUAAUUGGAUAACUUGACAAUGGUGCCAUAUGUCUAACGUCACACUACUCACUUGCAAUGCGAUAUUAUUUGGAGUGUGGGCAGCCCAAGAUGGCCGCCACUUUGAAACACUCGGAAAACCCCCACCGCCUCUUUAUCAUCUAUGGCGCACGGUUUGUUUACGUUGAUCUUCUGGGCGGGAAGGCGGAGCUUGGAGCUAAAACACUGUUUCGUGUGUGCAGUUACAUAGCUACUAGGCCAACUGCAUAACCAUGGACAUCGACUCAGACAGUGACUCUGACAAGGAUGAGCCUGUUGCAGCUACAAGUAAAAAAAAAGGACGAUACGCCCAAAAAUACAAGUCAUCUUGGGAAAAGGAGGCAGAAUUUAUUGGGUGGCUGAAAUCCAGUUCAAAAGGAGCAUUUUUUGCAUAUUGCACUGCCUGCCAUGUGAACUUAUCAUUGAAUGCUGGGAAGCGAGAUUUGAAAUCCCAUGCUAAAGGUAGAAAACAUGUUCAGAACUGUGCUUCAGUUGCAAAGCAACCAUCAGUAUUAGAUAUGCCUUCAGUGGGUAGAAGAAAGAAACUUGAAGAUUCAGCUAAAGAAAGUGAGAUCAGAUUAGCAGCAUUUAUCAGUGAACAUGACUUGCCAAUUAGGGCAGUGGAGCAUAUGCCUCAACUCAUUCAGUCAAUGUGCCCUGAUUCUGAGAUAGCCAAACACAUUAAAUGUGGUCAAAUGAUGAAGUUAAUGAAAGAGGAUAUGUACAGUAUGGCAAAAGACAUAGAAGAUGAUAACAGUGAGUAGAUCAGUUUUUUCAAUAUUUUUUAAUAAUUUUGUAUUAUGCUGAUUUUUGCACUCCAUUCAUAAUUUCAGUUUCACAUUCAGGAGGAUUUUUUUAUUUUGUAAUGGCAAAAAUAAGCCAAAAAACUGGUAAUAAAUGUAAAUGAAAAUAUUAUGUAAUUGAUGUAG